rnacentral:rRNA from 1 species
AAUCAACGCUGGCGGCGUGCCUAACACAUGCAAGUCGAACGCGAAAGGGACUUCGGUUCUUAGUAGAGUGGCGUACGGGUGAGUAACGCGUGGGGUAAUCUACCCUUGGGUGGGGAAUAACUAAUCGAAAGGUUAGCUAAUACCGCAUAAUACAGUGAUGUCAAAACAGUAAUGUGCCCGAGGAGGAGCCUGCGUCUGAUUAGGUAGUUGGGUGGGGUAACGGCCGUACCAAGCCUGCGAUCAGUAGCUGGUCUGAGAGGACG